rnacentral:tRNA from 1 species
AGUAGGGUAAGCUAAAUAAGCUGUUGGGCUCAUAACCCAAAAAUAGACAACUCUCUUCCUACUA